rnacentral:rRNA from 1 species
CACGUAGGCGGAUAUUUAAGUCAGGGGUGAAAUCCCAGAGCUCAACUCUGGAACUGCCUUUGAUACUGGGUAUCUUGAGUAUGGAAGAGGUAAGUGGAAUUCCGAGUGUAGAGGUGAAAUUCGUAGAUAUUCGGAGGAACACCAGUGGCGAAGGCGGCUCACUGGACUGGUAUUGACGCUGAGGUGCGAAAGCGUGGGGAGCAAACA